rnacentral:rRNA from 1 species
AUUGAACGCUGGCGGCAUGCUUAACACAUGCAGGUCGAACGCGAAAAGUCACUUCGGUGGCGAGUAGAGUGGCGACGGGUGAGUAACGCGUAGGAAUCUGCCUUAUAUGGGGGACAACUCGGGGGAAACUCGAGCUAAUACCGCAUAAUAUCUACGGAUUAAAGUGGGGGCUCUUUAGGGACCUCAUGCUAUAAGAUGAGCCUGCGUCGGAUUAGCCUGUUGGUGGGGUAAAGGCCUACCAAGGCGACGAUCCGUAGCUGGUCUGAGAGGACGAUCAGCCACACUGGGACUGAGACACGGCCCAGACUCCUACGGGAGGCAGCAGUGGGGAAUAUUGGACAAUGGGCGAAAGCCUGAUCCAGCAAUGCCGCGUGUGUGAAGAAGGCCUUCGGGUUGUAAAGCACUUUCAGUAAGGAAGAAUGGCCUAAGGUUAAUACCCUUAGGAGGUGACAUUACUUACAGAAGAAGCACCGGCUAACUCUGUG